GAUAAUUACUUUAUUGUUUUUAGUUUUUAGUUUAUUCCAGUAGUUGGGGUUAGUUGGGGACCUCUCCCAUCAACUCCACAGUUUUCAGACAGUUUAGAGGCUUUCAGACUACAACAUGUUUUCAAGCAGUUUAUCUCAGUUCUGCGUAUUAUCACACCCCACUACAGAUAUAGUAUUAUAUUCAGUAUUAGUUUAGUUUUGAACCUUAUGGACUUACAACUUAUAUUCCGCAUAUUUACAACGUAUUAUUCAUUGCUCAGUUAUAGAUAUUAGUCAUGGGUUAUCUUGUGGUUCUUCGGGGACAUGAGCACCAUGUAGCAUUCCGGGUACUAGAUUUGGGAGUUUGCUUUCUUUGCUUCUAACAUUGUUGACAGUCUUCCUUUGAGACACAUUAGGCUCGAAUUCUCCUUGAUUCCCAGGCCUCUACCAUUUUUAAUACCUUGACUAGUCAAUGUAGAAAUGAUCUAUGAAGAAGCAAUCCAUUUAAGAGACUGUUGAGCUCUUCUCUCAAAUAGACAGGUCCCUUUCUAACGCUUCAUUCUUAUGAAUUGCAUACAUAAGGUGUUUUUGUGAAUUCUUUAAUUUCUCUUUAGAUCAAUCUAAAGGAUUGAGGCUUCCUUCUCCCUUUUUACCAUAUAAAAUAUUUUUCUUUUACAGUUGACUCAAGCAAUUAGGAUUUUCAGAGUUCAAUUUAGUUACCAUUUCUUCAAUCUCAGAUAUCUAAAGAGUUAAGGCAAUCAAUUCAUGUUUUUGAUUCUCUACUUUCUUCUCUAAUGCAUUUUUCUCAGUAGUUAAUUCAUAUACAGAGUGUAUCAACUCAUCAAUAAUAUUUUUUAUCCUCCUAGAAGUGUAGUUAUCUAGGUUUUCCUUAAGGUAAUGAGUGUUACCUCCUUGACUCCUUCAUCCUUUGUGUUUUCCAAGAAUGCAAACAUGGAAUCAUAGAUAACUGUACUAUUUUCCACUGCUAGAAUAUAAAUAUCUCCAGUCUUCUUAUUUUCACCCAAAUCAUUGGAGGAGUCUCCCGAUGCUGCUAUUUGAGAACAUUAGGAACUUGAGGUUAUUUUCUUAUCUUCCCGUUUCAGCAUGAAAUCAUCUCCAUGCUCUUUACCUUUCCCAGAUUUGGUGGACAAGUAUUCCCAUGUAGCCAACACCCUUUUUACUCUACAGUUAGCUGCAUCUUUUCUUCUUAAUGUUUUAGGAUUUUGAUUCUUCUUUUGCAUUGGGUAGUUUUUCAUGAAUUCUUUAGAGCUUUUACCUCAUUUUUCCAUAGAUCUAAUAAUCCUUGUUGCCAAAAGUGCAAUAUCAGUGUCUUCUUUACCUGAGUCAAAAUCAAAAGCCUUUAAAGUCAGGAAUCUUUUCCUUUUUGCUUUCUUUUCGUCCACCUUAGUUUAGUUAUAGCAAUAAUGAUGACCAGACCACUCUAGGUAUGAGCCUUAUAGAGUGAACCUAUCUCUAAUACCAUUUGUUAAAACCCUUAGGGGUUGUACCACAUAGCGAGGGACCAAGUCCCUCUAAAUCAAUCUCAGCCAAAGUCACAGUAAAGCAAUAGUAAAGUGUUUGAAAGAUAAAGUCUUUGCAAGAAAUAAAUAACACAAAGAUUUAAAAACAUGGAAAUCUCCUUGCUCAAGGAAGUAAAAACCACGGCUUGCCCUCACAAGCACCAAUAUAGUUCACUAAAAUCAAACUCUUGAUUACAGACUCGACUGUGAACCUAACUCUAGGUUUCUCCUACUUGUAAUACCUCUAUUUCAAGCACACCUUGUCACCUCUUCCAAGUCACCCUAAAAAACUGGUUAGCUCUAAUCAACAACAAGCUUAGGCAACUCUACCUAAGAACUUCUCUCAAUAAGCAGAAACACUACUCUUAUAGAAUGAGUAGUUUAGUUACAAAUCAGCAGUCACUUAAGAACAAUUUUUAUUUAAGCACACAUAAUCAGCUAAGAACUUGAGCAGUGUUGAAAUGGGGUUUUUCCUGCCUCUCUUCACUCUUUGUAAUUACAAAAAACCAUUUAAUAAAGAGCCAUUUUUUUCCUUUUAUAGAUGAGUAAUGAUUAAGGCUAAAACAUCAUUGGACCAGGUGUCCUAAUCAAUACAAAAUAGCACCUACAAAUUUGUUACACAAGAGGGAAAAAUUGUCCAGACAACACGUGCCAGCUGUACUGUACCUAUCCAAGGACCUGGUCCUUUGCAGUUUAGCUACUCAUCAUCAAAACUAUAUAUAACACAUCUAUAAGAGUUUGAUGUUUGUCGAUUUUUAGAUUACCCUUAGGUAACAUGCUUUUUAUGUAUAAUGAUGAGAAGAGGAGGUUCAAACACUCCAAAAAAAUAAACAUCCCUUAGUUUAUCAUUAGAAUCCAUGAGAGUUGGCAAAAUAUGGAAUUAGUAUAAUCCCAUGGUUUUGAUUACAAUGAAUUUUAGAUUCAUGUCCCGACUAAACAAUGGUGACAGUCUUAUAUCUCUUAUAAACUAGUAGGAUAUUCUUUUUUGACUUAAAAGUAGUUUACUUAGGUUUUUAUAGAGCGGUUUGUUCCCUUAAAUAUGUGGAAAGAUAGGAUAAUCCCAUAUGAGCACUUGAUUCAAGAUAACAUUUCAAUGAUUGAAUAGGUGACAAAAUUUCACGUAUAUUCUCAAUCAUGCUUUGUAGAUCUUGCUCGAUGAUGCUGUGAGGCUUUGAUGGUUCAUGAUAAGACUGAUCUAUCCUAUUUGUUUGGUAACAUAUCAGGUAAUAACAUAUGUGUAACACCCCAAAAUCCCUAAGUUCAUUUCUUAGACUUAGCAUAAAAAUCCCAUAGGACAAAUCUAACUAUGAGUUAUUUUCAAGUUAGAUGAGUCUUCAUUACCACUCGUUCUAUGUAUUUAGCCGAAAGUUCUAAAGGAUGAAAAAUUAUCCCAGUGGAAAUAAUUCCAGACAAUGGGUCAUUGCCAGUAGUGAUGAGUCGUCAUACAUCCCAUCCUAAAGAAGUAUAGAGAUAAUUUUUGAAAUUUGAAAAUUAAACUUUGUGUCCAUGACUGCUGAUGAUGAGUAGUCACCUAGGAUUCCUUCAUUGCGAACAUGACGGUGGUGGUCAUGAUCGUGAAGGGUAAUUAGGUCCAGGCCGAGUCAUUCUUCUUUGCAAAUGCAAUGAGAUUUUCAGGAAUGUGUAACCUUAGCCGUAAAUAUAAAGGCUAAAUUUUGGCCGAGUCAAUAUAGAACCUCACAAUCGUUAGGUGGGGUCCAUGAUCACAAACUACUAUUUACAAAAUAGUAGAACUACCUUAUUUUUGAUAUUUUCCAUUAUUUUUAGACCUCUAAGCUUUGGGAAAGGCAAUUUUUGGGGGUUUCUUCAUUGGCUUUUGUGUGGGUAACCUCUAAACUCUUGUUUUUUUAUUUCCCAUUAAUUAUGCCUUUAAAAUGACCUUCUUACGUCAAUUUUGAAAUUAAUUCUUGGGGUUUUUAUCGAUAAAGACUAAAAAUGGUUUUUAUUUGAUUUGCACCUCAUAUUUAACUCAUUUUCACAAGUGUUUUUAAUCUAGACUCUUAUAACCUUAGGUAGUGUGUUUAGAAAUAGAAUUCUAAUUUUAGCCGUUUUGUUUUCAAAUUCAUUUUUGAGUUUGUUUUGGACUAGUCUUAACUAUAGUCAACAUGCAAAUCAUUGACUUUCUUUUAAUGUAUUGGUGCUAUAUUUGAAUGUUUUAGUUGAUUUCAAGGCCAUUCAAAAGGGGAGGGCUCCUUAUUGAAGCACUUUUGGGUGAAUUUCAUUAUUUCGGGCUAGGUUAUGGGUUAACUUUCUUUGAAUUAGGCUGGGUAGUUAAUGAACAAGUAAAACAUGCUAGGGGUUUUGGAAAAUAACUAUAGAAAUCAUGUUUCGAAAUUAUUAUUGCUAUUGUGUGCCCGUACGAAGGCUUAUAUUCUUUUUGUUGUUGACUUGACAUAUCAUGUAUUGCGUGUUGCCUAUAUGGGGGAUUUUAUUUGACAUCAUUGGCCUUAUUGUUCAUUUAUAUACUUAAUUUUGAAUGUAAUAUCUUUUCAUGUGCUCAAAUAGAUGUUAUAGGCCUUAUAGAGCAUUGUUUGCCUUUAUUAUGAUGAAAAAACACGAACUACAGGUUGAUAUGAUACUAAUAAUGUCUUCCAUGCAUAUUUAUUCCAAUGUUAACAAGCUAGAACUAACAUGACACCUUAUUAAUAUAUUGAGUUUCUUUUAGAGCUCACCUAUAUAUUUAUUUAAUGUGUUGGAUAUCUUUAUUAGAUGUGAUUGUGAGUAUAUCAUCCUCAUUUAAUAUAUAUAUACACCAUGAGAUACUGGUAGCAAAAAUAAAUCACUUUUGAAAAACCCUUAGCUGAGGUGAUUUACUGACAAGGUUGAUUAUGAUGUUUCAGGAAGUCUAGGUCGAGGUCAUUGGUGAUAAUUUUGAGUUGAGAUUUAAAAAAUAUAUGGGUUGUGAACCCCCAUGGCUUCUAUCCUAGAAACACUGAGCUCAGAAGAUGGCUAGGACAUGUACUAUCGCUAUACGAGAUGAAGGUCCUAAGAUCCAGCCUACAGAUCCUAUUACUGUUCAUGGAUAACCCAGAGGUUGUGGAUAGCCACGUGAUAUGUCACCAGCUAGGGGACAGUAUAGGCUACCUUCCCCAAAUCAUAUAGUUUCUCCUAAGCUGGAGAUUCUUUCGUCCCAGCUAGUGGUGGGCCAAGGACCAACCCAGGAUCUACCAGAGUUUAUUUCUUCUUUAGUGGCACAUUAUUUUAUCUUUUUGGGAUAGUUAAUGGUGUUCCAUCUGAUGGUGCAUUAUCUACAGAUCAAAGUGGUACUGAGUAAGGGCACAACUUGUAACUGCAGCUCCUAGAGUUGAGGUUCCUUCUGCACUAGUAGUUGCUUGACCAGUGGUUACCCAGACUGCUAUAUCUUCUGAGUAGUAGAGGAUAUUGGGUAGAUUUUUGAUAUUAGCUCUACUAGUUUUUUUAGUUCUCCGAGUGAGGAUGCAUAUGAGUUUCUGAUUUCUUAUGAGGAUAGGCUCUAUAAUUUAGGCUUUAUUGAGACUUGUGGUGUGGAUUACACCAUAUUCUAGUUGGAUUUGGCUGCUCGACAUUAGUGGAGAGCUUAUAUGGAUUCUAGAUCAACUGGAUCUUUCCCUUGACAUGGACUUAGUUCUCUGUGAUGUUCUUGGAGAAGUACAUACUUCACAACCUUAAAGAUCAUUUGAGGGAUCGGUUCUCUAGAUUAGAGUAGGGAUUCAUGAUAGUUCCAGAGUGUGAGACUUGUUUUCAUGAGUUGGCUAUGUAUGCGACUUCUACUUUGGACACUGAGUAUGAGAGAGUUUGUUGCUCUAUUAAAGGGUUGAGACUUCCCAUUCGUAUGUAUAUUUAGAGUUUGGUUGCUGCGGGUAGGUAUUUUGAUAAGGUUGUAGAUCACUCUCGGGUGAUAAAAGAGAUGCAUCAUGAGGCCAAAAGGGAAAUGAUAAGAGGCCUAGAUAUCAGGAAAGCUUUAGUGAGAGCCAUAGUAAGUAUCGAUUCAGAGGCAGUAGUUCUUAUGCUGGGCAUUCUCCGCAUCUAUUGUAUCAGCCUCAGAAUCAGCCUUGUCAACCUAUUCAUGCUGUGCUUCAAAUUAGUGACGAAGGUUAGUCUAAUGCCAGAGAUUGCCCAGGUCAAGGUACCACCUAGGUCAAGGUAGUGGUCAAUCUUGGAGGGGUUUAUCUUCUGGCUAUUCUAGUCGUGGUGGUUGUUUUGGGUCAGCUAGAUCUAUUGAUUCUAGUUUAGUCUAGGGAGCCUAUUAUCUUUGCAGAUCUCUUGGUCAUUAUUCUCGAAAGCGACCUAGUCAUGGGGCGAUUGUUAUUUCAGCUCAGGGUACUUCCCUUAUUAGAGUUGUUUAUCCCUCAGCUAGAGAUGGUUCUCAUGGUUGUAGGGGUGAUUCCUAGGGUACUCGAGGAUAUUCUCAGGAAGGCAGGAUCAAAGGUCGAUUAGGUGCAGAGCCAGGUGGCGAGCCUAGUCAGUUGUAUGCAGUACCUACUAGACCUGAGGCUUAGACUUCAAAUGUUAUUGUUACAGGUAUGAUUUUGGUGUGCCGCCAGUUGGCCCUUGUUUUAUUUGGUCUGGGAUCCACUUAUUCUUAUAUUUCUGCUUAUUAUACACUAUGGUUGGAGUUUUCUUAUGACAUAUUAUAUGUGCCAUUACACGAAUCUAACAUAUUAUCUGUGCCAUUACACGAAUCUACUCUACUAGGUGAUUUUUUGUAGUGGAUUGAUUUUUAAAAUCAUAUGUUGUGAUUGUUGAAGAUGUUGAUACUUAUGAUGAUCUUAUUAUUCUA